AAAGUGUUGGAAUUCAAGGAAACAAGCUAGGUGGUGAGACGUCCGGAAAAGGCAAAGGAAUUGCGCCUGAGGACUAUUAGUCAGAGUUCACCCGAAAUCCGGAUUUUCGACACCUGGAGUGCGCAUAAGCCGAGGAUGACCCGGUUAUGUGCGAGUAGG
rnacentral:sRNA from 1 species